rnacentral:misc_RNA from 1 species
GAUGAAGAACGCAGCGAAAUGCGAUAAGUAAUGUGAAUUGCAGAAUUCAGUGAAUCAUCGAAUCUUUGAACGCACAUUGCGCCCGCCAGUAUUCUGGCGGGCUUGCCUGUUCGAGCGUCAUUUCAACCAUCAAGCCCCCGGGCUUGUGUUGGGGACCUGCGGCUGCCGCAGGCCCUGAAAAGCAGUGGCGGGCUCGCUGUCACACCGAGCGUAGUAGCAUACAUCUCGCUCUGGGCGUGCUGCGGGUUCCGGCCGUUAAACCACCUUUUAACCCAAGGUUGACCUCGGAUCAGGUAGGAAGACCCGCUGAACUUAAGCAUAUCAAUAAGCGGAGGA